GAUGAACGCUGGCGGCGUGCCUAAUACAUGCAAGUCGAGCGAACAGACGUGGUGCUUGCUCCUUUUACGUUAGCGGCGGACGGGUGAGUAACACGUAGGUAACCUACCUUUAAGACUGGGAUAACUUCUGGAAACCGGUGCUAAUACCGGAUAAUAUUUCUAACCGCAUGUUUCGAUAUUGAAAGAUGCCUUUGCUUUCCCUUAUAGAUAUCCCUGCGCGUUAUUAGCUGUUUGGUAAGUUAAGGCCUUACAAAGGCAAGGAUAAGUAGCCGACCUGCAAGGGUGAUCGGCCACACGGGAACUGAGACACGGUCCAGACUCCUACGGGAGGCAGCAGUAGGAAAUCUUGCGAAAGGAGCGAAGGCCUGACGGAGAAACGCCGCGUGAGUGAUGAAGGUCUUCGGAUCGUAAAACUCGGUGAUUAGGGAAGAACAAACGUGGAAGUAAAAGUGCACGACGUGACGGUACCUAAUCAGAAAGCCACGGCUAACUACGUG
rnacentral:rRNA from 1 species